rnacentral:rRNA from 1 species
GACGAACGCUGGCGGCGUGCCUAAUACAUGCAAGUAGAACGCUGAAGAGAGGAGCUUGCUCUUCUUGGAUGAGUUGCGAACGGGUGAGUAACGCGUAGGUAACCUGCCUUGUAGCGGGGGAUAACUAUUGGAAACGAUAGCUAAUACCGCAUAACAAUGGAUGACACAUGUCAUUUAUUUGAAAGGGGCAAUUGCUCCACUACAAGAUGGACCUGCGUUGUAUUAGCUAGUAGGUGAGGUAACGGCUCACCUAGGCGACGAUACAUAGCCGACCUGAGAGGGUGAUCGGCCACACUGGGACUGAGACACGGCCCAGACUCCUACGGGAGGCAGCAGUAGGGAAUCUUCGGCAAUGGGGGCAACCCUGACCGAGCAACGCCGCGUGAGUGAAGAAGGUUUUCGGAUCGUAAAGCUCUGUUGUAAGUCAAGAACAAGUGUGAGAGUGGAAAGUUCACACUGUGACGGUAGCUUACCAGAAAGGGACGGCUAACUACGUGCCAGCAGCCGCGGUAAUACGUAGGUCCCGAGCGUUGUCCGGAUUUAUUGGGCGUAAAGCGAGCGCAGGCGGUUUGAUAAGUCUGAAGUUAAAGGCUGUGGCUCAACCAUAGUUCGCUUUGGAAACUGUCAAACUUGAGUGCAGAAGGGGAGAGUGGAAUUCCAUGUGUAGCGGUGAAAUGCGUAGAUAUAUGGAGGAACACCGGUGGCGAAAGCGGCUCUCUGGUCUGUAACUGACGCUGAGGCUCGAAAGCGUGGGGAGCGAACAGG